rnacentral:lncRNA from 1 species
AUGCAGCAGCACGUGACCAAAUCAACGAACACGCCCAAGUGCAGCCUGUGGUUCCACACCAAUGAAAGAAGGGCAAGGUUUCCGUGGCAUGUGGCACCGGGCACCAGGCGGGGGCUCACGCCGUGGCACACGAAGGGCUGGACUUCAGGGCUGUGCGGCAGGGGAAGGAGGGCACAGCACAGCGGUCGGUUUGCAGGAUGGAGGCUUCGAUCUGAUGCGGGACCCCUGAGGGGCCAAGCCUGGACCAUGGACAAGUGUGAGCACUUGGGGAAAGGAAGUGGCCGGGAGCUGGAGGCAAGAGCCCGUCCCUUGACUCCCCCUCGAAGAAAUCCCCAGAGGCCAUUUCCUGGGUGCAGACCCCAGACUCCUCUCUCCUUGGCCAAGAAUCCAGAGGACGUGGGCCGCAGCCAUGUCCGUUGCUGGCAACUCUAAGGGGGCUCGCCUCCUUUCUCGGACAGCAGAGGCGCCGCUGGCAAGCUAAAGUUCUGGACGCCGAUUG